rnacentral:rRNA from 1 species
CAAGUCGAGCGAGGCCAGGGGGGCAACUCCCUGAGUCGAGCGGCGGACGGGUGAGUAACACGUGGGUAACCUACCCGGAAGUGGGGAAUACCUCGGGGAAACUCGAGCUAAUACCGCAUGACAUCUUCGGGACGAAAGUUCUGACGAUCAAAGCGGGGUCGCAAGAUCUCGCGCUACCGGAUGGGCCCGCGCCCGAUUAGCUAGUUGGUGAGGUAACGGCUCACCAAGGCGACGAUCGGUAACCGGCCUGAGAGGGCGAUCGGUCACACCGGAACUGAGACACGGUCCGGACUCCUACGGGAGGCAGCAGUGGGGAAUCUUGCGCAAUGGGCGAAAGCCUGACGCAGCAACGCCGCGUGGAGGAUGAAGGCCCUUGGGUUGUAAACUCCUGUCGGCUGGGAAGAAGUUGUUCGCGACUAAUACUCGCGGACAUUGACUGUACCAGCAAAGGAAGCCCCGGCUAACUCUGUGCCAGCAGCCGCGGUAAUACAGAGGGGGCCAGCGUUAUUCGGAAUUAUUGGGCGUAAAGGGCGCGUAGGCGGCCAUGCGUGUCUUCCGUGAGAUCCCUCGGCUUAACCGAGGACGUGCGGAAGAAACUGCAAGGCUCGAGUCCGGAAGAGGGGGGCGGAAUUCCCAGUGUAGCGGUGAAAUGCGUAGAUAUUGGGAGGAACACCAGUGGCGAAGGCGGUCCCCUGGGCCGGAACUGACGCUGAGGCGCGAAAGCGUGGGUAGCAAACGGGAUUAGAUACCCCGGUAGUCCACGCCGUAAACGAUGGGCACUUGGUGUCGCGGGUAUCGACCCCUGCGGUGCCGAAGCUAACGCAUUAAGUGCCCCGCCUGGGGAGUACGGUCGCAAGGCUGAAACUCAAAG